rnacentral:ncRNA from 1 species
UUGUGGCAUGGGGGGAGCAUGGCUGAGAUUAUACGGCCUGAACUUGAUCUGGAUAAUGCCAGCGUCUAAAGAAUCAUGCUCUUCCGUUCUU